rnacentral:tRNA from 2 species
GCCAGAGUAGCUCAGCGGUAGAGCAAUCGCUUCGUAAGCGAUAGGUCGUGAGUUCAAGUCUCACCUCUGGCU